rnacentral:rRNA from 1 species
ACACGGUAAUGCUCAGUACGGCGAGUGAAGCGGCAAGAGCUCAAAUUUGAAAGCUGGCCCCUUCGGGGUCCGCGUUGUAAUUUGCAGAGGAUGCUUCGGGUGCAGCCCCCGUCUAAGUGCCCUGGAACGGGCCGUCAUAGAGGGUGAGAAUCCCGUCUGGGACGGGGUGUCUGCGUCCGUGUGAAGCUCCUUCGACGAGUCGAGUUGUUUGGGAAUGCAGCUCUAAAUGGGUGGUAAAUUUCAUCUAAAGCUAAAUACUGGCCGGAGACCGAUAGCGCACAAGUAGAGUGAUCGAAAGAUGAAAAGCACUUUGAAAAGAGAGUUAAACAGCACGUGAAAUUGUUGAAAGGGAAGCGUUUGCGACCAGACUCGCCCGCGGGGUUCAGCCGGCAUUCGUGCCGGUGUACUUCCCCGUGGGCGGGCCAGCGUCGGUUUGGGCGGCCGGUCAAAGGCCCUCGGAAUGUAUCACCUCUCGGGGUGUCUUAUAGCCGAGGGUGCAAUGCGGCCUGCCUGGACCGAGGAACGCGCUUCGGCUCGGACGCUGGCGUAAUGGUCGUAAAUGACCCGUCUUGAAAACCGGACCAAA